CUACGAAAGGUGCAAGCGUUGUUCGGAUUUACUGGGCGUAAAGAGAUCGUAGGUGGUUUGUUAAGUCGGAUGUGAAAUCCCGGGGCUCAACCCCGGAACUGCAUCCGAUACUGGCAGGCUAGAGUUUGGGAGGGGUAAGCGGAAUUCCGUGUGUAGCAGUGAAAUGCGUAGAUAUACGGAGGAACACCUGAGGCGAAGGCGGCUUACUGGACCAAUACUGACACUGAGGAUCGAAAGCGUGGGUAGCAAACAGGAUUAGAAACCCGAGUAGUCC
rnacentral:rRNA from 1 species